GAUUGGUGCUUGCAUCAUGAUUUACAUUUGAGUGAGUGGCGAACUGGUGAGUAACACGUGGGAAACCUGCCCAGAAGCGGGGGAUAACACCUGGAAACAGAUGCUAAUACCGCAUAACAACUUGGACCGCAUGGUCCGAGUUUGAAAGAUGGCUUCGGCUAUCACUUUUGGAUGGUCCCGCGGCGUAUUAGCUAGAUGGUGGGGUAACGGCUCACCAUGGCAAUGAUACGUAGCCGACCUGAGAGGGUAAUCGGCCACAUUGGGACUGAGACACGGCCCAAACUCCUACGGGAGGCAGCAGUAGGGAAUCUUCCACAAUGGACGAAAGUCUGAUGGAGCAACGCCGCGUGAGUGAAGAAGGGUUUCGGCUCGUAAAACUCUGUUGUUAAAGAAGAACAUAUCUGAGAGUAACUGUUCAGGUAUUGACGGUAUUUAACCAGAAAGCCACGGCUAACUACGUGCCAGCAGCCGCGGUAAUACGUAGGUGGCAAGCGUUGUCCGGAUUUAUUGGGCGUAAAGCGAGCGCAGGCGGUUUUUUAAGUCUGAUGUGAAAGCCUUCGGCUCAACCGAAGAAGUGCAUCGGAAACUGGGAAACUUGAGUGCAGAAGAGGACAGUGGAACUCCAUGUGUAGCGGUGAAAUGCGUAGAUAUAUGGAAGAACACCAGUGGCGAAGGCGGCUGUCUGGUCUGUAACUGACGCUGAGGCUCGAAAGUAUGGGUAGCAAACAGGAUUAGAUACCCUGGUAGUCCAUACCGUAAACGAUGAAUGCUAAGUGUUGGAGGGUUUCCGCCCUUCAGUGCUGCAGCUAACGCAUUAAGCAUUCCGCCUGGGGAGUACGGCCGCAAGGCUGAAACUCAAAGGAAUUGACGGGGGCCCGCACAAGCGGUGGAGCAUGUGGUUUAAUUCGAAGCUACGCGAAGAACCUUACCAGGUCUUGACAUACUAUGCAAAUCUAAGAGAUUAGACGUUCCCUUCGGGGACAUGGAUACAGGUGGUGCAUGGUUGUCGUCAGCUCGUGUCGUGAGAUGUUGGGUUAAGUCCCGCAACGAGCGCAACCCUUAUUAUCAGUUGCCAGCAUUAAGUUGGGCACUCUGGUGAGACUGCCGGUGACAAACCGGAGGAAGGUGGGGAUGACGUCAAAUCAUCAUGCCCCUUAUGACCUGGGCUACACACGUGCUACAAUGGAUGGUACAACGAGUUGCGAACUCGCGAGAGUAAGCUAAUCUCUUAAAGCCAUUCUCAGUUCGGAUUGUAGGCUGCAACUCGCCUACAUGAAGUCGGAAUCGCUAGUAAUCGCGGAUCAGCAUGCCGCGGUGAAUACGUUCCCGGGCCUUGUACACACCGCCCGUCACACCAUGAGAGUUUGUAACACCCAAAGUCGGUGG
rnacentral:rRNA from 2 species